rnacentral:rRNA from 1 species
GAUGAACGCUGGCGGCGUGCCUAAUACAUGCAAGUCGAGCGAAUGGAUUAAGAGCUUGCUCUUAUGAAGUUAGCGGCGGACGGGUGAGUAACACGUGGGUAACCCGCCCAUAAGACUGGGAUAACUCCGGGAAACCGGGGCUAAUACCGGAUAACAUUUUGAACCGCAUGGUUCGAAAUUGAAAGGCGGCUUCGGCUGUCACUUAUGGAUGGACCCGCGUCGCAUUAGCUAGUUGGUGAGGUAACGGCUCACCAAGGCAACGAUGCGUAGCCGACCUGAGAGGGUGAUCGGCCACCCUGGGACUGAGACACGGCCCAGACUCCUACGGGAGGCAGCAGUAGGGAAUCUUCCGCAAUGGACGAGAGUCUGACGGAGCAACGCCGCGUGAGUGAUGAAGGCUUUCGGGUCGUAAAACUCUGUUGUUAGGGAAGAACAAGUGCUAGUUGAAUAAGCUGGCACCUUGGCGGUACCUAACCAGAAAGCCACGGCUAACUACGUGCCAGCCGCCGCGGUAA